CAUCUUUCACUGCAGGUGAGGAGCCAGAGUCUGAACAACACCGGUGACUCAGUCAAUACAACUACAAACAUGACGGUGGCUAGCUACUUCACAACGCCCAGUUUCACCGCUGCAGUGAACACAGUCGAAGACAAAUAAAGGUUUUCCAAAGAGUGAGGCCUUCACGCUGCUGCUCCCAGUUGCACUCGUGCCCACUGUCCUCAGCAGUAGCACU